AACGUAGGAGACAAACGUUAUCCGGAGUUACUGGGCGUAAAGGGCGUGUAGGCGGUUUCGUAAGUCUGGCGUGAAAUUUUUCGGCUUAACCGGGAAAGGUCGUCGGAUACUGCAGAACUAGAGGACGGUAGAGGCGUGUGGAAUUCCGGGUGUAGUGGUGAAAUGCGUAGAGAUCCGGAGGAACACCAGUGGCGAAGGCGACACGCUGGGCCGUACCUGACACUGAUGCGCGACAGCAUGGGGAGCAAACAGG
rnacentral:rRNA from 1 species